GACGAACGCUGGCGGCGUGCCUAAUACAUGCAAGUUGAGCGCUGAAGGUUGGUACUUGUACCAACUGGAUGAGCAGCGAACGGGUGAGUAACGCGUGGGGAAUCUGCCUUUGAGCGGGGGACAACAUUUGGAAACGAAUGCUAAUACCGCAUAAAAACUUUAAACACAAGUUUUAAGUUUGAAAGAUGCAAUUGCAUCACUCAAAGAUGAUCCCGCGUUGUAUUAGCUAGUUGGUGAGGUAAAGGCUCACCAAGGCGAUGAUACAUAGCCGGCCUGAGAGGGUGGUCGGCCACAUUGGGACUGAGACACGGCCCAAACUCCUACGGGAGGCAGCAGUAGGGAAUCUUCGGCAAUGGACGAAAGUCUGACCGAGCAACGCCGCGUGAGUGAAGAAGGUUUUCGGAUCGUAAAACUCUGUUGGUAGAGAAGAACGUUGGUGAGAGUGGAAAGCUCAUCAAGUGACGGUAACUACCCAGAAAGGGACGGCUAACUACGUG
rnacentral:rRNA from 1 species